rnacentral:lncRNA from 1 species
GCUUGAGGCAGCAAUGAUGGAGGCAAAGCGCGGGACGACGCCCAGCCUGGGUCCGUGUAGGUGCCGCGCUCCACGCCUUUGCGCCAAGAAUCACGCCAACUCCGACGUCUACUGCAGCCAGCGGAGGUACGUCCUCAGGGUGUUUGAUGAAAUGGCCGUUCGAAAUGCCGUGAGUUCAAAAUCCUUGCCUGUCUCCGUCUCCUCCUCCAUUUACUUGAAUAGGUGGCCAACCAGC